UUCCUCCGUGAUUAUUAGUAAAUGAAAAAAAAAUAUGGCGAAAUCUAAAAUUAGGAAAAUAUUAAAUGAAUAUUUCAAUUUCAAUGGUGACGCUAAUCUCACGUAUUGCAACAUUUGCAAUAAAUCGUUCAAAAGUUUCAUCGCGGGAAAUCUCAAGAGGCACAUAAUAAGAUGCCAUCACGUUAUCGCGACCAAUUUGGAAUUGAUUGAUCACCAGGAAAACGAACCAAAAUUCAAUUUAACCACCCAAGCCUUUGCCAAGGCUUAUUUAAAACUAACAACUGACCACGGGUUUCGUUUAAUCGAUUCCUCGUCCUUCAAAAUUAUUCGAGACCCCAUAUGUCAAGCCCUGGAAAUUGUUAACUUCGAUCGCGGAUAUAUCACAGAGAAAAUAGGGGAGGCCGCGCAAAAAAUCCGUCAACAAAUCUGCGACGGAAUCAAAAAAAUGGUAUCCUUGAAAAUCGACAUAGCGAAAACUGCGCAAGAAGGAUGUAUAUUAAGCAUAAACGUGCAAUUCAUAAACGAGGCUAAUCUUCAAAUUCGUUGGUUAGGAAUACUCCGAUUAUCUAAAGGGCACACCAGUGAUAACUUUUGAAAAAGAGAUUAAAGUGUUACUCCAAAAAUACGGUAUUAACUUGUCUCAAAUUUAUUCUUGCAUCAUUGAUAAUGGUGCACGCAGGAUAAAAACGAUAGAGCAUAAGAAUGACCCUCAAACGGUUGUUGCCAAUGAUACCAAUCCCGAUGGUUCCUUCUUAGAAGAAAAUAAUCUUACCGAUUUUCUUGAGGAUGAGGCUGAGGAAUACAUGAAUAUGGUAAUUGAAAAUUUGAACACCAAUUUGAGCAGUUUUCGUUGUGCAACUCACACCUUUCAAUUGAUAGCUAACGGCAUGGUUAUAAAAUAUAUCUCGCACAUCAAAACGGUGCGCGAUGCUUCGAUCAAGCUGUAUAGAAUAAAAAGGUGCCGAACCCGCGAUUUAACAAGAUGGAUACCAAUUAUUCGAUGAAAAAUUUGCACGACAAUCGAGCAUUGUACCAAGACCUAGAACAGUGCGAUAUGGACGAGCAUCAAUGGAAAUUCGUACAAGAAUUUGUUGAGGCCUUCGGUUCGCUUUAUAACACCACGCAGAAACUUGAAAGAGAACAGCUGAUGAUCGGAGAUUUCAUGAAACUUUGGUUGGAAUGUAAACUAAAUCUCGUGGAAACUAAAACGGCAUUGCUGAAGAAAUAUUAGGGAUGAUGACUUUAAUGUCGUCCCGGUUAUUUGAAAAUGACGCAUUUAGAGCGGCCACAUUUAUUGACCCUCGCUUCAAUUUCAUGCGAUCACCAUUUAUCAAAGAUGACGAAAAGGAGGGAGCUAUGAAAUUUCUUGUUAAUUUGUGGAAAUCGUUGCAAGGCUCAAAGCAGCCCCAAAUAGCAAUGAAUCAGGGAAACAGAUCAAAACUCGACCUCUUUAUGGAGAACGAAUGCGGCACGGCUUCGAUACUAAGUGAAAUAAAACUAGAAAAAGAUUUUAAACUAAAAUUAAGCGAACUCUCUAACCAAACUAUAAUUCCAGUUGAUACCAAUAUUUUAGAAUAUUGGUACUCGAAAAGAUUUGAAGACCCCGAACUUUACGAAUUAUCGCACAUCGUAUUGGCCACUCCCGCUUCUCAGGUGUCAGUUGAACGCGCGUUCACCGCACUAGAAUUUAUCGCCAACCGCCCGCUACCAAAUAAAGAAACAUUAGAUAACAUUUUACUCAUUAAUGAAUAAUGAAUUGUUUGAUAAUGUAAUAUUUGAUUAACAAUAACUUUGUUUAUAAUAUUUUAUUCAAUUCAACUAACAAAUUUUUGAUACAGACAUGCUUUAAUUAAAAGGGUUUUUUUUUCUUGUAUCAAUUU